rnacentral:rRNA from 1 species
UCUCGGGCUUGGUUAGUACUUGGAUGGGUGACCGCUUGGGAAUACCAAGUGUGAUAAGCA